GCACCUUGUGUUACGGUACUCGCGAGAAACCGGGCAUGCGCAGAGCGGCGCAGAUACGGCAAGGAACAGCCGGCGGGGCGCCCGAUGCGUCACCAGUCUCGCCAUUUUCGAAGGCUCUGCUAUCGGCGCUGGUUUGGAAUCCGUUGGGCCACGUAUUGUACUCCCGCUGCAGAUGGUGACCUGUGGAACCCAGAGGAGUACCUUCUUGUUGAUCGCCACGUGUUGGGAGCGGCUAGAGAACGUCACUACAGUAUUCUGCAUGUUAUUCACCAGUUAUUUUUCCUUUCACGUCUGUUAUGCUGAAAGAUUGUAGUCUACUUUGGAAUUCGUUCAAAGGGUACUUUUGGUAUUAACCCAGACCAUGGAAGCAAGGCUGAGAAAAAAAGCAAGGAAAGAGAACCCAAAAAUAUUCAGUUUGACGAAAAAAUCAUGGAUUCUGAAUGGAAUGUUUACGAGGCAUCAGAGAAAUGGAAUUGGAGAGUCUUUUAAGUAAAAAUUUGUAGUGAAUUAUUUAGCGAUUUGAAAUUUUG
rnacentral:lncRNA from 1 species